rnacentral:rRNA from 1 species
UACGAAGGUCCCGAGCGUUAUCCGGAUUCAUUGGGUUUAAAGGGUGCGUAGGUGGGUCGAUAAGUCAGUGGUGAAAGCCUGAUGCUUAACAUCAGAACUGCCAUUGAUACUGUCGAUCUUGAGUUUAGUUGAAGUGGGCGGAAUGUGUCAUGUAGCGGUGAAAUGCUUAGAUAUGACACAGAACACCGAUUGCGAAGGCAGCUCACUAAGCUAACACUGACACUGAGGCACGAAAGCGUGGGGAUCAAACAGG